rnacentral:pre_miRNA from 1 species
AGUGGCACUACUAGAUCAUAAGGUAUGUGUGAUUUUUUGAGGAUCUGCUAGACUGUUUUCCAAAAUGGCUACACCAUUUUAAAUUCCCACAAACAGU